rnacentral:misc_RNA from 1 species
AAGAUCAAGCCCGACAACGACAAGGAUGUUGAGAAGCAGAAACGUCCAUACUCCGAGGACAUAAGAAUCCUGCGAAACGAGUGGGACAAUAGCGAAUGAAGCAAGGAUGCCUAGCAUGGGCCCCUGCUUCAUCCACGCGUUAUCGGAGAAGGCUGCGCGAUCAUCGGGCAGAUCCCGGCUCAGCGCGACCGAACAGACCUUGAGGCCGGAUCAGAAGGAUCAACAAGAGCGUGAAGAACGC